rnacentral:rRNA from 1 species
GAUGAACGCUGGCGGCGUGCCUAAUACAUGCAAGUCGAGCGAACAGACGAGGAGCUUGCUCCUCUGACGUUAGCGGCGGACGGGUGAGUAACACGUGGAUAACCUACCUAUAAGACUGGGAUAACUUCGGGAAACCGGAGCUAAUACCGGAUAAUAUAUUGAACCGCAUGGUUCAAUAGUGAAAGACGGUUUUGCUGUCACUUAUAGAUCGAUCCGCGCCGCAUUAGCUAGUUGGUAAGGUAACGGCUUACCAAGGCAACGAUGCGUAGCCGACCUGAGAGGGUGAUCGGCCACACUGGAACUGAGACACGGUCCAGACUCCUACGGGAGGCAGCAGUAGGGAAUCUUCCGCAAUGGGCGAAAGCCUGACGGAGCAACGCCGCGUGAGUGAUGAAGGUCUUCGGAUCGUAAAACUCUGUUAUUAGGGAAGAACAAAUGUGUAAGUAACUAUACACGUCUUGACGGUACCUAAUCAGAAAGCCACGGCUAACUACGUG